GUGGGGAAUAUUGGACAAUGGGCGAAAGCCUGAUCCAGCCAUGCCGCGUGUGUGAAGAAGGUCUUCGGAUUGUAAAGCACUUUAAGUUGGGAGGAAGGGCAGUAAGUUAAUACCUUGCUGUUUUGACGUUACCGACAGAAUAAGCACCGGCUAACUUCGUGCCAGCAGCCGCGGUAAUACGAAGGGUGCAAGCGUUAAUCGGAAUUACUGGGCGUAAAGCGCGCGUAGGUGGUUUUGUAAGUUGGAGGUGAAAUCCCCGGGCUCAACCUGGGAACUGCCUCCAAAACUGCAUGACUAGAGUACGGUAGAGGGUAGUGGAAUUUCCUGUGUAGCGGUGAAAUGCGUAGAUAUAGGAAGGAACACCAGUGGCGAAGGCGACUACCUGGACUGAUACUGACACUGAGGCACGAAAGCGUGGGGAGCAAACAGGAUUAGAUACCCGAGUAGUCC
rnacentral:rRNA from 1 species